rnacentral:lncRNA from 1 species
CGGUGUCAAGAAAAUUAUAGGAAAUGAGUUAAAUACACUUCGAAAGCAUACUUUUUUAAAUGUUGAAGUAAGUGACACUGACAUUAAUCAGAGUUGCCCUGUUGUGCAGAGAUAGUUCCAAAGUGAGUUGAUUAAGUAUCACAUAUUCUCUAAUUUAAUUAGAGAAUUCAGGUUCAAAUUCUGAAUGAUUUGGCCGUGGUGUUUGCUUUAAUGGUUACCUUUCCCAGCAUUACAGAUAUUGUUUUUGUUUGUUUGUUUGUUUGACCAACAUACACA